rnacentral:rRNA from 1 species
UGGUGUCAGCCGCCGCGGUAAUACCAGCUCCCCGAGUGGUCGGGACGAUUAUUGGGCCUAAAGCAUCCGUAGCCGGUUCUGUAGGUCUUAUGUUAAAAUCAAUUGCUUAACAAUUGAACUGCAUGAGAUACCACAAAACUAGGAGGCGGGAGAGGUGGACGGUACUCCGCGGGUAGGGGUAAAAUCCUCUGAACCGUGGAAGACCACCAGUGGCGAAGGCGGUCCACCAGAACGCGCUCGACGGUGAGGGAUGAAAGCUGGGGUAGCGAACCGGAUUAGAUACCCGGGUAGUCCCAGCUGUAAACGAUGCAAGCUAGGUGAUGCAUUAGCCACGUGUUAAUGCAGUGCCGCAGGGAAGCCGUUAAGCUUGCCGCCUGGGGAGUACGGUCGCAAGGCUGAAACUUAAAGGAAUUGGCGGGGGAGCACCACAAGGGGUGAAGCCUGCGGUUC